AAUCAACGCUGGCGGCGUGCCUAACACAUGCAAGUCGAACGCGAAAACCCCGCAAGGGGUUAGUAGAGUGGCGAACGGGUGAGUAACACGUGGGUGACCUACCUUCGAAUGGGGGAUAACGUCCCGAAAGGGACGCUAAUACCGCAUAACAUCCUGCUUUUGAACAGGUGGAGAUCAAAGCCGGGGAUCGCAAGACCUGGCGUUUGAAGAGGGGCCCGCGUCCGAUUAGCUAGUUGGUGAGGUAACGGCCCACCAAGGCGACGAUCAGUAUCCGGCCUGAGAGGGCGGACGGACACACUGGGACUGAGACACGGCCCAGACUCCUACGGGAGGCAGCAGUGGGGAAUUGUUCGCAAUGGGCGCAAGCCUGACGACGCAACGCCGCGUGGAGGAUGAAGGUCUUCGGAUUGUAAACUCCUGUUGCCCGGGACGAAAAGCUUCGACCUAACACGUCGAAGUCUGACGGUACCGGGUGAGGAAGCCCCGGCUAACUCUGUGCCAGCAGCCGCGGUAAUACAGAGGGGGCAAGCGUUGUUCGGAAUUACUGGGCGUAAAGGGCGCGUAGGCGGCCUGCUAAGUCGAACGU
rnacentral:rRNA from 1 species